UCCCUGGUGGUCCAGUGGUUAAGACUUUCCUUUUCAAGGCAGCGGGUUCAGGUUCAAUUCCUGGUCAGGGAG
rnacentral:tRNA from 1 species